GCACUACAUUAGUGACAUAUUGCAUGCCAGUGGAAAUUGGUUCUGCUGUAAUGACAGCCAGGUGUCAAUGUCCAAUGAAGCCACUGUGCUGAGAACCAGAGCCCGGAGUGCCUACAUGCUCUUCUAUAUGUUCAGGGCAAUAGAGCGGGAGGCCCCAGCACACAGGGCCUAACAGGGCCACCAGCAUCAGCCCCAGACUAAACAGGGGCAGAACCUGGACCAACCUCCAAACACUCAGACCUGUCUCAACAGGGGUGGUACCAGGCCCAGCCUCAAAACCAUACAGCCCAGCCUCAACACUCACACACCUGCCUCGAAAGGGGUAGCACUUGGCCCAACAUCAACAACCCCGAGCCCAGCCACAACAGGGGCAGCACGGGGCCCAACAUCAACACACCCAGCCCAGCCUCAACAUGUGAAGAACCAGACCCAGCCCCAACACCCUCAGACCUGCCUCAACAGGUGCAGCACUAGGCCCAACAUCAACACACCCAGCCCAGCCUCAACAUGGGAAGAACCAGGCCCAGUCUCAACAUGGGAAGAACCAGGCCCAGCCUCAACAUGGGCAGAACAAGACCCAGCCCCAACACCCUCAGACCUGCCUCAACAGGUGCAGCAUUCGGCCCAACUUCAAUCAUGCUGCUCUUCAACACUAGCAUGAACAUUCUUUCAGUAGCUUAUGUCAUAAAUACCUGCCCUUGAUUUGACUACUUCACCUAAUGUAUAAAGCGUAUAAAGUAUACACACUAAAUGUAGUACACAUGUAGAUGUGGUGGAUAGAGAGUGUGAUUAUUUAGAGGGUAUAACAUCCCUUCUAUUUGGUUUGGUUUGAAAUCCUCCUGUUGUGAAAUACACUGUGGUGUCUAACCUCUUAUUCAGCAUGGUCACACCGGAAGACCUGGAAUAUUAAUAAAGACAAGCAAAUGUAAGAAAAUCCCAUUUAAGAUGAUUCUGUUGACCGUUGUAACUCUUUAACUCAGGAAGAUUUAUGGUCUGGGAUUCAGGCCGGUCCUAACAGGAAACGUGACAAAGGGAAGCAGCUGUAAUGGAGCCUUCUAACACCCAAUCAGGUCUGGAGGAGGAAUGUCACAUAAAGAUUCAGAGAUGCUAUGAGUAUAUUUUGAAGUUACUCUCCAGUUGUAUCAAUUUGAAUCAAUACAGACAUGAAAAUGCUGGGCUACGGAUGUGACCUUGGUUCUGUGAGUAGAGUAACGGGUCACCAAACAAGCUAUGGGAACUCCUUCCCUUUCAUGUGAUAUGAUUGAGAUGCUUAAUAUCAACGAUGUUUACAAUGACGCCACACCCUUACUGUACCAUUGUGACCUGUCACUAUUAAAGGCUGUGUGACGUGA